rnacentral:rRNA from 1 species
CCUACGGGAGGCAGCAGUAGGGAAUAUUGGGCAAUGGACGAGAGUCUGACCCAGCCAUGCCGCGUGCAGGAUGAAGGCUUUCUGAGUCGUAAACUGCUUUUACCGGGGAAGAAAAAAGGGGAUGCGUCCUCUACUGACGGUACCUGGUGAAUAAGCACCGGCUAACUCCGUGCCAGCAGCCGCGGUAAU